CCCCUCGUAGCUCAAUGGUAGAGCAAGAAGCUUUUAACUUCGAGACGGAGGUCCGAUUCCUCCCGGGGGGA
rfam:Candidatus Kaiserbacteria bacterium RIFCSPHIGHO2_02_FTLL_55_20 rifcsphigho2_02_scaffold_10312, whole genome shotgun sequence.